UACGUAGGGUGCAAGCGUUGUCCGGAAUUAUUGGGCGUAAAGAGCUCGUAGGCGGUCUGUCGCGUCGGCUGUGAAAUCCCGGAGCUCAACUCCGGGUCUGCAGUCGAUACGGGCAGACUGGAGUACUGCAGGGGAGACUGGAAUUCCUGGUGUAGCGGUGGAAUGCGCAGAUAUCAGGAGGAACACCGGUGGCGAAGGCGGGUCUCUGGGCAGUAACUGACGCUGAGGAGCGAAAGCGUGGGGAGCGAACAGG
rnacentral:rRNA from 1 species